rnacentral:rRNA from 1 species
GCGUUGUUCGGAAUUACUGGGCGUAAAGCGCGCGUAGGCGGACAUUUAAGUCAGGGGUGAAAUGCCGGGGCUCAACCUCGGAACUGCCUUUGAUACUGGGUGUCUGGAGUUCGGGAGAGGUGAGUGGAAUUCCGAGUGUAGAGGUGAAAUUCGUAGAUAUUCGGAGGAACACCAGAAGCGAAGGCGGCUCACUGGCCCGAUACUGACGCUGAGGCGCGAAAGCGUG